rnacentral:rRNA from 1 species
UUGGAAGUUAAAGUCGUUCCAGGUUUCCGUAAGUGAACCUGCGGCAAGGAUCAUUAA